UACAUAUCUGCUCCCUGACAUCGGAAGUUGCUUGGCUUACCUUUCUAGUAGGAUCUAUUCAUUUAGCAAUAGCAGUUAUAAUUAUGCUUUAAAAAUACUUACAGUAAAAUCUGAUUUCACAUGCUCCUGCAUUUUGGGGGGAGGGGAAAAAUCUUGACUAGAAAGUCUCACUUCUUGAAUGAAACUUUCUGUGCUUCAAAGCUCUCAAAGCUAAACAGAAUUAUUGAAAAUUAGGGUUGGAAGGGACCUCAGGAGGUCACCUAGUCUAACGCCCUGCUUGAAGCAGGACUACCCCCAACUAUAUCACCCCACCAAGGCUUUUAAAAUUUCCAAGUGAACAUAAGUAAUAGGUUUAGAUGCCAAAAAUGAGUCCAGUAAGGCAGUUAUUUUAGUACUGUAGUGUAUAUGAAUCAUUGUGUUCCUGUGAACUUGAACGUGUAGGAAGAAUUAUAUUUGUCAAUCUUCUUUUGUUAAAUAGAAACCAAAAGACUUAUCUAGGCAGAAUUGUGGUGGGGGAUAUUUAUUCCAGUUUUUGCUAUAAUUUUAAAUCUUCCAAUUUGAAUGUUGUAUCACUGGGAUUUUUACCUUUAAAUGGGUAAAGUAUUGUCAUGAAAUACUGUAUGAUGCACACCCAAAGAGAAGGUACAAUGUAUUUUAAGGUUGGGAAAUUAUAUUAGAGCAAAUAGAAGCAAAAGUGUCUAGCCAAACCAAUAAUUACCCUUCUAUUAAUACUAGAUUCUGUUUCUCACCUGUCUAAACGCUUUCCUCUGGUGAGAUAGUAUCAUCUUUUUACAUUAAUCUUAGGAUUUAGUAUGGGAUAGUUUUAAAAUUGCUCUUUUGUGUAAAGUUAAGACUAACAGUCCUGAUUUCCUCAAUUCUGAAAAAAGCCCCUCUUUUUCCUGAUUUACAUACUUAGAAACAUGUUUCUAUUUUAACACUGAUUGAUGGAGGUUGGGUGUUUUGCUUUUGUUUUGGCGAGUCUCUGCUUUUACAUUGGUACGUGGUAUCAUAACUGAUAGGUGAUUUCCCUUGUGGAGUGGGGUGUGGGGUUCCAAAGAGGAAAUCAUCCACUAUGAAUGCUUUGGGCUUGAUUCAGUACUCUGUAAAGUCAAUGAAAAGACUCCCAUUCAUCUCAGUGUCAAUUGGAUUGGAUCCUUAAAAUGGCUUUUCUUGGGGAAACAAGAAAGAUUAAAAAUAGAUUUAAAAAAUAAAUAAAAAAACAAGACGGAUUAAAAAUAGAAUGAAAAGUUUUGACUUUUAAGCUGCUAGUUCAGGUCUAGUAAAGGCUGGUAGGGAAUAAAAGUCAACUGUUUGGGAACCUUUUGGCCUUUUUGAAGAUAGGCUAGUAUGAUUUGUGGUGGAAAAGCAUCAAACCCUACUUUCCAGCUUUUCUUGUGCUGUUUUCAACGUUCCUUUGAAGACUGUUUGUUGGCUCUGUUAAUAUCUUUGGAAAUGGUGAUUUGUAUUGGACAUGGAACUUUUGUAACUCUUGGAAAGGAUUUCUAAAUGUAUUGUCUACAGAACUAACCGUGGGUAUUUUUAGAGUCCAAAAUGUGAACUAAUUCACUAAUUGAGAAAUUAACUGUUUUUUCUUCUUCUUUCAGCGCUACAACUUGUUGUGAAGCAUUUACAGCUGCUCCACUUGUGCAUAUUUUCAAACAGGCAGGAUCUUUUGAAAACGAUACCUCAUGUUAUAUUAUUAAAAUGGCUAUCCAUACAAGGCUGAGUGUAAAAAUGAAAAUGCUGACAGGUUCAAGCAGGACAGUUUCAGGAAUGUAUGACUUGAGAGAGGCAGCCAGACAGACAAUCCAAAUGCUUCAGUUGGCAGGAUGAAGUGAUAUGCUAAUGUAAGAGAAAAGGUCUGCCUGCAGUCAUUCCCUACCCUCCAGAGUGCUUACUUCACCCCACAAUUUAGUAUCAUCUGCAGACUUGGACACAGGACACUUCACGCCCACAUCCAAGUCACUGAUGAAGACACUGAAGAGUACAGGUCUGAGGACUGAGCUCGGUGGGACCCCACUACCCAGAUCCUUCCAGGUCAAUACCGACCCGUCUACUACCACUCUCUGGGUGCGACCCGCAAGCCAAUUUGCCACCCACCAGACCGUUUAAACAUCUAAGUCACAGCCUCUUAAUUUAUUUAAGAGAAUGGGAUGAGAUACCGUAUCGGAGGUCUUCCUAAAAUCCCAAAAAACAACAUCCACCUCUACUUCUGCAUCAGCAUUUUGUGACCUGGUUAUAAAAUGAAACCAGAUGAGUCAGGCAUGAUCUACCUGCUACAGAUCAAUGCUGGUUGCCCUGCUUUAUCAACGAUUUGGAAGACGGGGUGAAAAGCAGUCUGUUCAAAUUUGCUGAUGAUACCAAAAUAUGGGGAGAGGUGGGCACGUUAGCAGGGAGGGAGAGACUGCAGAAAGACCUGGAUAGGUUGCAGGGGCGGGCUAACAAAAACAGGAUGCGUUUCAAUAGUGACAAGUGCAGGGUGCUGUACUUGGGCAGUAGUAACCAGCAGCACACUUAUAAGAUGGGAAACUCCCUUCUUGAGAGCACGGAGGCAGAAAGGGAUCAUGUAGUCAUUAUUGACUCCAAGAUGAACACGGGCCGACAAUGCGAGGUCACAGUCGGCAGGGCUAACCAGACUGUA